CCUGGUUGAUCCUGCCAGUAGUCAUAUGCUUGUCUCAAAGAUUAAGCCAUGCAUGUCUCAGUACAAGCCAAAUUAAGGUGAAACCGCGAAAGGCUCAUUAAAUCAGUUAUGGUUCCUUAGAUCGUACCCACAAUUACUUGGAUAACUGUGGUUAUUCUAGAGCUAAUACAUGCAAAUAGAGCUCCGACCGGAGACGGAAGGAGUGCUUUUAUUAGGUUGAAACCAAUCGGUGACGGGUUCGCGCUCGUCAUCGUUGUUGAACCACUGAGACUUAUUGAAAUGCGACUAGCGUGCCAGAGCGUGGCCGCUGCGUAGAAAGUUUACAGACCCUUAUCAACUGUCGAUGGUAAGUUCUGCGCCUACCACGGUCGUAACGGAUAACGGGGAAUCAGGGUUCGAUUCCGGAGAGGGAGCCUGAGAAACGGCUACCACAUCCAAGGAAGGCAGCAGGCGCGCAAAUUACCCACUCCCGGCACGGGGAGGUAGUGACGAAAAAUAACGAUACGGGACUCAUCCGAGGCCCCGUAAUCGGAAUGAGUACACUCUAAACCCUUUAACGAGGAUCAAUUGGAGGGCAAGUCUGGUGCCAGCAGCCGCGGUAAUUCCAGCUCCAAUAGCGUAUAUUAAAGUUGUUGCGGUUAAAAAGCUCGUAGUCGAAUUUGUGUCUCGCGCCGUCGGUUCAUCGUCCGCGGUGUUAACUGGCGUGAAGCGAGACGUCCUGCCGGUGGAUUUAGCCGUUGGCCGAUUUCGAUUCGCGGGAGCUUCGGCGAACGCGCGUUGGCGGUCCAGCGGCGGUCCAACUCAAUCCUGCCGCGGUGCUCUUCACUGAGUGUCGAGGUGGGCCGGCACGUUUACUUUGAACAAAUUAGAGUGCUUAAAGCAGGCUAAAAUUUCGCCUGAAUAUUGUGUGCAUGGAAUAAUGGAAUAGGACCUCGGUUCUNGAUAAGGAUUGGCUCUGAGGAUCGGGGCGUGUCGGGCUUGGCGAGGAAGCGGGUACUGGCUAAUGUGCCAGGCCUGGGCGAGGUGCAAGUUUUUGCGAACCGAAUCCGAGCUCGGUCCUGAGCCUUGGCCUCCCGCGGAACCGCUUUGCUGCGAGGCCCGUUUGCGUAGCGUUUCACGACGUUACGCUUCGGUGUCCUCUUCGGCCGCUAUUUAACGGUCAGCUCAGAACUGGCACGGACCGGGGGAAUCCGACUGUCUAAUUAAAACAAAGCAUUGCGAUGGUCUUAACUUGAUGUUGACGCAAUGUGAUUUCCCUUAACUGGUUACAGUAUCUCUCACGGUAAAAAAAUUGACGGGGGGAUUAACAGCAUUGGGCCAGAAAUUGACGGUUGCGGGUUGGGGGUGUGGGGAAAUAUUGACGGUAUAGGGGAAGGAAUUGGCAGUUUGGGGUUGGAGAAGGGAGAGAAAUUGACGUCACUGGGUUGGGGAGAGGGGAAAUUGACGGUAUUGUGGGAGAAAUUGACGGCGGUGGGUUUGGGGAGAGGGAAAUUGACGGUAUUGGGAGAGAAAUUGAAGGCAUUGGGUUGGGGAGGGGUAAAUUGGCGGUAUUGGUGGUGGGAAAUUGACGGCAUUGGUGGGAGAAUUAAAGAUAUGGGGUAAAAAAGGGGAGAAAUUGGCGGUAUGGGUGGGGGAAUUAAAGACAUGGGGUAAAAUAGGGGUAAAUUGGCGGUGUUGGUGGGCGGAUUAAAAACAUGGGGUAAAAAGGGGGAAAUUGGCGGUGUUGGUGGGGGGAUUAAAAACAUGGGGUUAAAAAGGGGGAAUCAGCGUGUCCUCCCUGGCCGAGCGGCCCGGGUAACCCGCUGAACCUCCUUCGUGCUAGGGAUUGGGGCUUGCAAUUGUUCCCCAUGAACGAGGAAUUCCCAGUAAGCGCGAGUCAUAAGCUCGCGUUGAUUACGUCCCUGCCCUUUGUACACACCGCCCGUCGCUACUACCGAUUGAAUGAUUUAGUGAGGUCUUCGGAUCGGCACGCGAUGGCGUUUCGGCGUCGUCGAUGUGUGUGAGAAGAUGACCAAACUUGAUCAUUUAGAGGAAGUAAAAGUCGUAACAAGGUUUCCGUAGGUGAACCUGCGGAAG
rnacentral:rRNA from 1 species